AUUGAACGCUGGCGGCAGGCCUAACACAUGCAAGUCGAGCGGAUGACGGGAGCUUGCUCCUUGAUUCAGCGGCGGACGGGUGAGUAAUGCCUAGGAAUCUGCCUGGUAGUGGGGGACAACGUUUCGAAAGGAACGCUAAUACCGCAUACGUCCUACGGGAGAAAGCAGGGGACCUUCGGGCCUUGCGCUAUCAGAUGAGCCUAGGUCGGAUUAGCUAGUUGGUGGGGUAAUGGCUCACCAAGGCGACGAUCCGUAACUGGUCUGAGAGGAUGAGCAGUCACACUGGAACUGAGACACGGGCCAGACUCCUACGGGAGGCAGCAGUGGGGAAUAUUGGACAAUGGGCGAAAGCCUGAUCCAGCCAUGCCGCGUGUGUGAAGAAGGUCUUCGGAUUGUAAAGCACUUUAAGUUGGGAGGAAGGGCAGUAAGCUAAUACCUUGCUGUUUUGACGUUACCGACAGAAUAAGCACCGGCUAACUCUGUGCCAGCAGCCGCGGUAA
rnacentral:rRNA from 1 species